CCUACGGGUGGCUGCAGUGGGGAAUAUUGGACAAUGGGGGGAACCCUGAUCCAGCCAUGCCGCGUGUGUGAAGAAGGCCCUCGGGUUGUAAAGCACUUUCAGUGAGGAAGAACGCCUGGUGGUUAAUACCCAUCAGGAAAGACAUCACUCACAGAAGAAGCACCGGCUAACUCCGUGCCAGCAGCCGCGAUAAUACGGAGGGUGCGAGCGUUAAUCGGAAUUACUGGGCGUAAAGCGCGCGUAGGUGGCUUGAUAAGCCGGUUGUGAAAGCCCCGGGCUCAACCUGGGAACGGCAUCCGGAACUGUCAAGCUAGAGUGCAGGAGAGGAAGGUAGAAUUCCCGGUGUAGCGGUGAAAUGCGUAGAGAUCGGGAGGAAUACCAGUGGCGAAGGCGGCCUUCUGGACUGACACUGACACUGAGGUGCGAAAGCGUGGGUAGCAAACAGGAUUAGAUACCCUGGUAGUC
rnacentral:rRNA from 1 species